UGUGUAUCAGUACAUGGCAUAUCAAUAAGCGGAGGAAAAGAAACUAACAAGGAUUCCCUUAGUAACGGCGAGUGAAGCGGGAAGAGCUCAAAUUUGAAAUCUUCAAGGUUUUACCUUGACGAAUUGUAGCUUAAAGAAGUGUUUUCUGUUGGAGUUUUGGUAAAAGUUCUUUGGAAUAGGACAUCAUAGAGGGUGAGAAUCCCGUAUUUGACCAUUAUUUUCAGCUGUGUGAUACACUUUCAAAGAGUCGGAUUGUUUGGGAAUGCAGUCCAAAAUGGGUGGUAAAUUUCAUCUAAAGCUAAAUAUUGGCGAGAGACCGAUAGCGAACAAGUACCGUGAGGGAAAGAUGAAAAGAACUUUGAAAAGAGAGUUAAACAGUACGUGAAAUUGUCAAAAGGGGAAGCGUUUGACACCAGUGUUGUUUUCUCGAAAAUCAAUUAAAAAAUGCCGGAUUUUGUGUUGUAUUGACUCUUAUAAGCUUUCUGCACUCUUUUCUUAUCUUUUUUAAUGCACUUUUCGUUUAACAAGUCAACAUCAGUUUCUUUUGUUGUAAAAGGGUCAUUGGAAGGUGGCUUUCUUUUCGGAGAAAGUGUUUAUAGCCUUUGAUCUCUGCAACCGGAGAGACUGAGGUCUGCAGCGUAGACUCUUCGGGGUUAGAUACAUUUGUGCUAAGCUAUAGCUUUUUAUAGACAACUUGUUGACUAUAUUUAGUCUUGUGGCUUACUCGCUUAUGCUAUUUUACCUACGCUUAGGAUGUUGAUAGUCACAGCGUGUAC
rnacentral:rRNA from 1 species